rnacentral:rRNA from 1 species
AACGCUAGCUACAGGCUUAACACAUGCAAGUCGCGGGGUAACGACGGAGAAAGCUUGCUUUUUCCGGGCGACGACCGGCGCACGGGUGAGUAACGCGUAUCCAACCUGCCCUAUACAAAGGCACAGCCCGGCGAAAGUCGGAUUAAUGCCUUAUGAAGUGAGAAGAAGACAUCUGAUUUUCACUAAAGCUGAGGCGGUAUAGGAUGGGGAUGCGUCCGAUUAGGUAGGCGGCGGGGUAACGGCCCACCGUGCCGACGAUCGGUAGGGGUUCUGAGAGGAAGGUCCCCCACACUGGAACUGAGACACGGUCCAGACUCCUACGGGAGGCAGCAGUGAGGAAUAUUGGUCAAUGGGCGAUAGCCUGAACCAGCCAAGUAGCGUGAGGGAAGACGGCCCUAUGGGUUGUAAACCUCUUUAGUCCGGGAAUAAAGUGGGCGACGUGUCGCCUAUUGCAUGUACCGGAAGAAUAAGGACCGGCUAAUUCCGUGCCAGCAGCCGCGGUAAUACGGAAGGUCCGGGCGUUAUCCGGAUUUAUUGGGUUUAAAGGGAGCGCAGGCGGUCUGAUAAGCGGGCAGUGAAAGACGGUGGCUCAACCAUCGAGGUGCUGUCCGAACUGUCGGACUUGAGUACGUGCGAGGCAGGCGGAAUUCGUGGUGUAGCGGUGAAAUGCUUAGAUAUCACGAAGAACCCCGAUUGCGAAGGCAGCUUGCCAGUGCGCCACUGACGCUAAAGCUCGAAAGUGCGGGUAUCGAACAGGAUUAGAUACCCUGGUAGUCCGCACGGUAAACGAUGGAUGCUCGCUGUUCGU